UACGUAGGGGGCUAGCGUUGUCCGGAUUUAUUGGGCGUAAAGAGCGUGUAGGCGGCCAAGUAGGUCCGGUGUGAAAACUCGAGGCUUAACCUCGAGAUGUCAUCGGAAACCAUCUGGCUAGAGUCCGGAAGAGGAGAGUGGAAUUCCUGGUGUAGCGGUGGAAUGCGCAGAUAUCAGGAGGAACACCAAUAGCGAAGGCAGCUCGCUGGGACGUUACUGACACUGAGGCGCGAAAGCGUGGGGAGCGAACAGG
rnacentral:rRNA from 1 species